GUGUGUGUGUGUGUGUGUAUUUGAGCGAUAACGUUUUUGUCAAUACUCCUCCGCCGCCUCACGCUCGACCGGAUCGCGAUUUGUUCGUCUGAAGUUUGAAACAUAUAUUUUUGUCGUUAUGAAAACAGAGUAAUCUUCUUAAAUUUUUAUUUUUAUUUUUUUAUUAUUACUUGUUUCUGCAGCGUAUCGUCAGAAAGCAUAUUUUUAUUUCUAUCGAUGAAAUAAUAUCCUUUCGAGUAUUCAAGAGUUUUCAAGUGAUAGAGUGAGACGGCAGGAUAAAACACACACUGGCAAAUAUUAACAGGAAACAACUAGUCAUUGCGUGGGAUUUCCAAUAAAUGUAUGAGUGAACAUUUUCAAAUAUACAAUCAUAUUUUGGUUUUUAUCCACUAUAAAAAGAAACUUAGAAUGGAAACGACAAUGCGAAGACGUUUCGGUAACAGCUUCAAUGAAAUAUAAGGAACACUGGGCGUAUCGUCAAGAUAAGUCCUAAAUAUAAUAGUUAGCCUUUGCUGUACAGGGAAGUACAAAAUGUCACUUGAAGAAUUCGAUUGGUCCCCAAAAUAAUGUAAUGUGCGUGACGGAAACGAACAAAACGGGAAUAAAAAAAAGCCAAAUAAUCAUCGUUGCGGAAUAGGAGACGGUGAAAUAUGUGUUGUUAUCGGAAAAAUAUUGUUAUUGAGGAAUGGAUGGAGUUGGUGAAUUACAGAGAAAAUCUCGAUGGCCGAUAAUGAAAGUAUGGUCAUAAUUUUAUUUUUUUAUAACAAUAAUAAAUUAGUAUAAACAUUAGUAGAAAA